UGCCUCAGCCUCCUAAGUAGUGGAAAUACAGGCACAUGCCACCACGCCCAGCCUGUGAAGCCCCGCGCACCAAAUCCCUGGUUACAAAGUUCAGUCCCAGGCCUAACCACACGAAGCAAAGUUCGUUCAUCACUUGUCAAAGAUCUACGCACCUCCCCCGAGAAAAGGAUUGCUGUGGGACCAUUUAGAUCCGACUACCCAGCUCUUUAUCUGGGUAAAUUCUCAGAGAGAACAUUUUUUUCUCCCAUCAUGUCUUCUCCCUCUGGAAAGAAAGGUGCUCAUCUCUAAGCUGAACACUUGUCUUACUUCAAGAUGCAGGAAGCAGUGGACCUGGUCACAUUGGGUCUUUUUAAUUGAUACUGUACAAUCUUGUUGUCACUAUGUUUAUAAAGAGAAAUUAUUUAA
rnacentral:lncRNA from 1 species